rnacentral:rRNA from 1 species
UACGAAGGGGGCUAGCGUUGCUCGGAAUCACUGGGCGUAAAGCGCACGUAGGCGGCUUUGUAAGUCAGGGGUGAAAUCCUGGAGCUCAACUCCAGAACUGCCUUUGAUACUGGAGAGCUUGAGUCCGGGAGAGGUGAGUGGAACUCCGAGUGUAGAGGUGAAAUUCGUAGAUAUUCGGAAGAACACCAGUGGCGAAGGCGGCUCACUGGCCCGGUACUGACGCUGAGGUGCGAAAGCGUGGGGAGCAAACAGG